rnacentral:miRNA from 1 species
GAGCCAUCUCUCUAGCCCCUGA